UACAGAGGUCUCAAGCGUUGUUCGGAUUCAUUGGGCGUAAAGGGCGCGUAGGCGGCGAGGUAAGUCGGGUGUGAAAUCUCAGAGCUUAACUCUGAAACUGCACUCGAUACUGCUUUGCUAGAGGACUGGAGAGGAGAUUGGAAUUCACGGUGUAGCAGUGAAAUGCGUAGAUAUCGUGAGGAAGACCAGUGGCGAAGGCGGAUCUCUGGACAGUUCCUGACGCUGAGGCGCGAAGGCCAGGGGAGCAAACGGG
rnacentral:rRNA from 1 species